AUAUUUACCUGGUGGAGAUGAUGCUCUUGUCAUGAAGGGGGUUCUUCCACGGUGAGGCUCAGCCAUUGCACUCUGGCUCUGCUAAACCCUGCGAUUUUCCCAAAUGUGGGAAGCUCGACUGCUUAGUUUCUGGUAGUGGGGGACUGCGUUCGCGCUUUCCCCUG